GAAUAUUGGUCAAUGGACGCAAGUCUGAACCAGCCAUGCCGCGUGAAGGAUGACUGCCCUCUGGGUUGUAAACUUCUUUUAUCUGGGACGAAAAAGGGCCAUUCUUGGUCAACUGACGGUACCAGAGGAAUAAGCACCGGCUAACUCCGUGCCAGCAGCCGCGGUAAUACGGAGGGUGCAAGCGUUAUCCGGAUUCACUGGGUUUAAAGGGAGCGCAGGCGGACUGGAAAGUCAGUGGUGAAAGCCCCGAGCUUAACUCGGGAACUGCCAUUGAUACUAUCAGUCUUGAAUAUUGUUGAGGUUUGCGGAAUGGGUCAUGUAGCGGUGAAAUGCAUAGAUAUGACCCGGAACACCUAUUGCGAAGGCAGCAGGCUAAACAAAGAUUGACGCUGAGGCUCGAAAGCGUGGGGAUCAAACAGG
rnacentral:rRNA from 1 species